rnacentral:rRNA from 1 species
GAUGAACGCUGGCGGCGUGCCUAAUACAUGCAAGUCGAGCGAACGGACGAGAAGCUUGCUUUUCUGAUGUUAGCAGCGGACGGGUGAGUAACACGUGGAUAACCUACCUAUAAGACUGGGAUAACUUCGGGAAACCGGAGCUAAUACCGGAUAAUAUUUUGAACCGCAUGGUUCAAAAGUGAAAGACGGUCUUGCUGUCACUUAUAGAUGGAUCCGCGCUGCAUUAGCUAGUUGGUAAGGUAACGGCUUACCAAGGCAACGAUGCAUAGCCGACCUGAGAGGGUGAUCGGCCACACUGGAACUGAGACACGGUCCAGACUCCUACGGGAAGCAGCAGUAGGGAAUCUUCCGCAAUGGGCGAAAGCCUGACGGAGCAACGCCGCGUGAGUGAUGAAGGUCUUCGGAUCGUAAAACUCUGUUAUUAGGGAAGAACAUAUGUGUAAGUAACUGUGCACAUCUUGACGGUACCUAAUCAGAAAGCCACGGCUAACUACGUG